GUGGGGGAUAUUGCACAAUGGGGGAAACCCUGAUGCAGCGACGCCGCGUGGGUGAAGAAGUAUUUCGGUAUGUAAAGCCCUAUCAGCAGGGAAGAAAAUGACGGUACCUGACUAAGAAGCCCCGGCUAACUACGUGCCAGCAGCCGCGGUAAUACGUAGGGGGCGAGCGUUAUCCGGAUUUACUGGGUGUAAAGGGAGCGUAGACGGCAACGCAAGCCAGGAGUGAAAACCCGGGGCUCAACCCUGGGACUGCUCUUGGAACUGUAAGGCUAGAGUGCGGGAGGGGCAGGCGGAAUUCCUGGUGUAGCGGUGAAAUGCGUAGAUAUCAGGAGGAACACCGGCGGCGAAGGCGGCCUGCUGGACCGCGACUGACGUUGAGGCUCGAAAGCGUGGGGAGCGAACAGGA
rnacentral:rRNA from 1 species